UACGUAGGGCGCAAGCGUUGUCCGGAUUUAUUGGGCGUAAAGAGCUCGUAGGCGGCUUGUCGCGUCUGCCGUGCAAUUCCCCGGCUUAACCGGGGGCUUGCGGUGGAUACGGGUUGGCUGGAGGCAGGUAGGGGAGAAUGGAAUUCCCGGUGUAGCGGUGAAAUGCGCAGAUAUCGGGAGGAACACCGGUGGCGAAGGCGGUUCUCUGGGCCUUGCCUGACGCUGAGGAGCGAAAGCGUGGGGAGCGAACAGGAUUAGAUACCCUGGUAGUCCAUGCUGUAAACGUUGGGCGCUAGGUGUGGGGUCUUUCCACGGAUUCCGUGCCGUAGCUAACGCAUUAAGCGCCCCGCCUGGGGAGUACGGCCGCAAGGCUAAA
rnacentral:rRNA from 1 species